GUAUCAGUGUGUAUGUGAUAUUCAGGACCAGGAGAUAUUCAGGGCUCCUGCUCUGAUUAUCCUUCAUCAAUCAGGUCCUCAUUAGUCCGGAGCCGGGAUGUGACGCAGGAAACCGGAGCAGGAUCGUUAAACAUGGAUGAGGCUGUGGGAGAAAGUGGAACACACACACAGUGGACUUUAGGGAGAGUCACGGUCAAUCUGCUGACUUUCAGACAUACACUCUGCCUGCUGCUGGUGUACAGAUCUAUCUUGGGGUGUAAGUGAGUCUCAGGUGUGAGUGUGUGUGUGUGUGUGAAUGAACGCGGUCAGUAUUGGGGAGUACCAUGGGCUGCGGGUGGGCUCGGCCCUCCUCAGUAUCGUAUCCGGCUGCAUCAUCAUCGGUGUCUCUAAAGACUGUGACGCCGACGCUGUGGGGGGGAUUUUCCUCGGAGCAGGAGGACUCGGUCUCCUGAUCUCCGUCUAUCCAUUUAUCAAAGCCUGGUUCAACAUCCAUCACAUUUUACCCAACAUCGGAAACUUCCGAGUCCAUCCAGCUGCUCCGACGCCGGCCCCUGAACAGCCCUCGGACUCUCUCAGAAGAGAAGGGACUCUGGGUCAGCUGGAGCGCUCCAAGAGCCGCAUGGGGACGUUUGUGGAGACUGGAACUGCUGCAGCUGAGGGCUCACAGGAAGACGGUGUGUGGUUUAUUGUACAGUCCAGGACAGAGAGAAGAGUAGUGUCAGCACCACCCUCCUCCUCCCAUCCUUCUCCUCAGUCUGUCAGUGGAGCAGGGCAGUGACAGCAACCUGUCACUGAAGCUGCUUCUCUGUCUGGAGAUGAUGUUGUACAGUGGAUGCAGUGGAUUGUCCAUGAUGGACAGGAGCCUGCUCAGCGUCCUCCUCUCUGCCACUGAUGUCCAGUUCUGAGCCCACAAUCGAGCCCGCCUUCCUCAAAAGCUUGUCCAGACGUGAGGCGUCCUUCUUCUUUAUGCUGCCUCCCCAGCACACUGCCGCAUAGAAGAGGGUACUCACCACAACAGUCUGAUAGAACAGCAGCUUUUUGCAGAUGUUAAAGGAAGCCAGCCUUCUUAGGAAGUACAGCCGGCUCUGUCCUUUCCUACACAGAGCGUCUGUGUUGGCUGUCCAGUCCAUUCUUUCAUCCAGCUGUACUCCAAGGUACUUGAAGGUCUUGACAAACUCCAGACAGCCGCCGCUGAUAGUUACAGGCUCAGGUUGAGGCCUGGGCCUCCUGAAGUCCACCACCAUCUCCCUGGUCUUUGUCUCCCUUGUCAGCAGCGGCUGGAUGGUGUUGAGUGCACUGGAGAAGUCCAAAAAUGUUAUUCUCACAGCUGUGGUCUAAUGUGGUGUAGCAUCACCUGCUCCAUGGUCUUCAUUACGUGAGACGUCAGGGCGACUGGCCUGAAGUCAUUCACCUCUCCAAUGUGUGGUUUCUUUGGGACUGGGAUGAUGCAGGAUGUUUUCCACCGCCGAGACCCUCUACAGAUGUUCCGGAUAUUUUGGGCAGGCGUAAACCCAAACUCUCAGAGGUAGACCUUCCAUAAACAUCUGGAGCUCAAACCAUCAACUGUGUGAAAGAGGAACAGAGAGAAUUAGAACAAUAAUCUAUUAUAAAUGAGCCUCAGACCUGCAGUCAGUAUCUGAGGUGAAAACCGUGUCUGUGAGAUGUGAAAAGAUGAGUUACAUAUGUCAUUAAUAUGAACAUCAGGACAUCGUGGCCAUGAGACAUGAGGCAUUUCCUCUGCGGAUGUGCAUCGUCGCCUCAGGCCGUCUCUCUUUACAUCCCUCUCCAGAUCGAAUGCAAAUGCGACAUUUAUUUAAAAACUCCAAUGUCUCAUUUCCAUUUCAGUGACGAUCGAUAGAAACGAUCCUGAAGGAAAAUUUAAAACAAAUCACUGUGCAUGAGACGAAAUGAUCCAGGACUUUAAUAGCUUUUUAAUGUAUUUAAAUGCAGUUUAAGACAAAAAAUGCUGAGAGCAAAUUCGGGUGAGAACAAACUCGUUUGAGGUGAAUUUUAAUUUAAAA